rnacentral:rRNA from 1 species
UACGUAGGGUGCAAGCGUUAUUCGGAAUUACUGGGCGUAAAGCGUGCGCAGGCGGCUUUGCAAGACAGAUGUGAAAUCCCCGGGCUCAACCUGGGAACUGCAUUUGAGACUGCAUGGCUAGAGUACGGUAGAGGGGGAUGGAAUUCCGCGUGUAGCAGUGAAAUGCGUAGAUAUGCGGAGGAACACCGAUGGCGAAGGCAAUCCCCUGGGCCUGUACUGACGCUCAUGCACGAAAGCGUGGGGAGCAAACAGG